AGCUUUCUUCAGCCAACUCAGUCCCAGAGGCCUGAGAGCUGAGGGUGGUGGACUGGCAGCACUAGUCCUUCUAGCUACCGGCAUUCACGACAGGCCGGCCCUGACUGCUCAGAACCACCUCUUCACAUGCCUUCUGGGACCACUUCUUCAGGAUUCUGGUGGCCUCUCUUCCUAACAGGAACACAGAAGAGGAAGGGAGACAGGUGGGGAGGCUACUGAAGGAACAGAGACCCUGGAAGAUAGAAUGACAACUCUGACAUGGUUCCUGCUCUGCUGGAGCCCGUGGCCCAGGAGGGAAUGGUGCUGAAGAUGGGGAGAUCCGAGUGGCCCUACUGGGAGACCCCAAUAGGGGACUGGAUGUGGUCAGCCCUGCCUUGCUGCUGCUCCAUCAUCUGUCCAGCUCCUCGUCCUCUUCCCAAUGCCACUGCUUUCCAGGGCUUGGCCAGAGACCUCUCUGCUUCCCAUCCAAGCCUAGAUGCCUCCUUCUAGUUGAUGUCUUC
rnacentral:lncRNA from 1 species